GGAGGCGUAGUCUAAUUGGUUAGACAGCAGACUGUAAAUCUGUGAGUAAUCUCAAUGUAGGUUCGAGUCCUAUCGCCUCCA